rnacentral:rRNA from 1 species
AACGCUAGCUACAGGCUUAACACAUGCAAGUCGAGGGGCAGCGGGAUUGAAGCUUGCUUCAAUUGCCGGCGACCGGCGCACGGGUGAGUAACGCGUAUCCAACCUUCCGUACACUCAGGGAUAGCCUUUCGAAAGAAAGAUUAAUACCUGAUGGUAUGAUGAGAUUGCAUGAUAGCAUCAUUAAAGAUUCAUCGGUGUACGAUGGGGAUGCGUUCCAUUAGGUAGUAGGCGGGGUAACGGCCCACCUAGCCGACGAUGGAUAGGGGUUCUGAGAGGAAGGUCCCCCACAUUGGAACUGAGACACGGUCCAAACUCCUACGGGAGGCAGCAGUGAGGAAUAUUGGUCAAUGGACGAGAGUCUGAACCAGCCAAGUAGCGUGAAGGAUGAAGGUCCUACGGAUUGUAAACUUCUUUUAUAAGGGAAUAAAACCUCCCACGUGUGGGAGCUUGUAUGUACCUUAUGAAUAAGCAUCGGCUAACUCCGUGCCAGCAGCCGCGGUAAUACGGAGGAUGCGAGCGUUAUCCGGAUUUAUUGGGUUUAAAGGGAGCGCAGACGGGUCGUUAAGUCAGCUGUGAAAGUUUGGGGCUCAACCUUAAAAUUGCAGUUGAUACUGGCAGUCUUGAGUGCAGUAGAGGUGGGCGGAAUUCGUGGUGUAGCGGUGAAAUGCUUAGAUAUCACGAAGAACUCCGAUUG